UUGGUGUGUUCAGAGCUGCUGUUCCUCAGACCAUGAACAGCCAGUUUAUACCACACCAUACAGAAUGAAGGAGUCUUUGGGAGCAGAGGUGGACGAGUCGCAUCCUUCAUCAAAAGAUUCCUGACAUGU